GAAUUUUGUGGAAACUUUCAAGGA
rnacentral:siRNA from 1 species